CGCACGGGUGCGUAACACGUAACUAACCUACCUAUAACUGGGGGAUAGCCCGCCGAAAGGCGGAUUAAUACCGCAUAAGCUCUUGAGCUGGCAUCAGCUGAUUAGUAAAGAUUUAUUGGUUAUAGAUGGGGUUGCGGGUCAUUAGCUAGUUGGUUGGGUAACGGCUGACCAAGGCGACGAUGACUAGGGGAGCUGAGAGGCUGGUCCCCCACACGGGCACUGAGAUACGGGCCCG
rnacentral:rRNA from 1 species